rnacentral:rRNA from 1 species
AUUGAACGCUGGCGGCAGGCCUAACACAUGCAAGUCGAACGAGUGGCGGACGGGUGAGUAAUGUCUGGGAAACUGCCGGAUGGAGGGGGAUAAUUACUGGAAACGGUAGCUAAUACCGCAUACCAUCGGAUGUGCCCAGAUGGGAUUAGCUAGUAGGUGGGGUAAAGGCUCACCUAGGCGACGAUCCCUAGCUGGUCUGAGAGGAUGAACCUCCACACUGGAACUGAGACACGGUCCAGACUCCUACGUGAGGCAGCAGUGGUGAAUAUUGCACAAGGGGCGCAAGCCUGAUGCAGCCAUGCCGCGUGUAUGAGGAAGGCCUUCGGGUUGUAAAGUUCUUUCAGCGGGGAGGCGUUGCCCACAGAAGAAGCACCGGCUAACUCCGUGCCAGCAGCCGCGGUAAUAC